CUACGGGAGGCAGCAGUGGGGAAUAUUGCACAAUGGGCGAAAGCCUGAUGCAGCGACGCCGCGUGAGGGAUGACGGCCUUCGGGUUGUAAACCUCUUUCAGUAGGGAAGAAGCGAAAGUGACGGUACCUGCAGAAGAAGCACCGGCUAACUACGUGCCAGCAGCCGCGGUAAUACGUAGGGUGCGAGCGUUAUCCGGAAUUAUUGGGCGUAAAGAGCUCGUAGGCGGUUUGUCGCGUCUGUCGUGAAAGUCCGGGGCUUAACCCCGGAUCUGCGGUGGGUACGGGCAGACUAUAGUGCAGUAGGGGAGACUGGAAUUCCGUGGUGUAGCGGUGGAAUGCCCA
rnacentral:rRNA from 1 species